CCUACGGGUGGCAGCAGUGGGGAAUCUUGGACAAUGGGCGAAAGCCUGAUCCAGCCAUGCCGCGUGUGUGAAGAAGGCCUUCGGGUUGUAAAGCACUUUCAGUGGGGAAGAAAGCCUUGGGGCUAAUACCCUCGAGGAAGGACAUCACCCACAGAAGAAGCACCGGCUAACUCCGUGCCAGCAGCCGCGGUAAUACGGAGGGUGCGAGCGUUAAUCGGAAUUACUGGGCGUAAAGCGCGCGUAGGCGGUCUGAUAAGCCGGUUGUGAAAGCCCCGGGCUCAACCUGGGAACGGCAUCCGGAACUGUCAGGCUAGAGUGCAGGAGAGGAAGGUAGAAUUCCCGGUGUAGCGGUGAAAUGCGUAGAGAUCGGGAGGAAUACCAGUGGCGAAGGCGGCCUUCUGGACUGACACUGACGCUGAGGUGCGAAAGCGUGGGGAGCAAACAGGAUUAGAUACCCGGGUAGUC
rnacentral:rRNA from 1 species